ensembl:lncRNA
CUAGCUGCCUGCUCUGAUUUCCGCCACUGUCAGAUACAUUGUCUAAAGCGAUGUGUUCUCUCAAUUGUGGCAUUCAGUUGGGCCAUUUUUGUUUUUCUCAGUGAUAGUUGUUUUUUAUCAUUAUGGACUUGGGAAUCCAGCAAGACUUUGUGGUUUCACCGCUCUUUGUCCCACCUAUGUCCUGGCUUCAUUCUAGGCACAAGACUGAGCAAUACUGCAGUCUAAUUCCCUCACUUCCCAGCAAACUUCUUUCUCGGUCAAUAUGUUUCCAUGGAGAUCAAAUUGUGUGAGGGCUAGCCUGUGUUUUCCAAAAAGAACUAAAUUUACAUGAAAAAAAAGACCAGAAUCCUGGUGUGUGCAGCACUGCAGCAGUCUGAACCCAAGUUACACAAUUAAGAGUCGUCUUAUUGGGCAUUGCACUCUUGGUCACAGGUGUCUGUACCCCAGAGCAAGGGUUGGAAAAGACCUCCAAGAUCAUCCAGUCCAGCCAUCCACUUACCACCAGUAUUUCUCCACUAAAUCAUAGAAUCAUAGAAUCAUAGAAUUGCUCAGGUUGGAAAAGACCUUCAAUAUCGUCAAGUAAACUGCAACCUAACCAUACUACCUGAACUCUAACAACCCACCACUAAAUCAUGUCCCUGAGCACUACAUCCAAACAUCUCUCAGUACAACAUCUAAACAUAUCUUGAACACCUCCAGGGUCGGUGACUCCACUACUUCCCUGGGGCAGACCCAUCCAGCACCUGACCAUUCUUUUGGAGAAAAAAUCUUUCCUAAUGUUAAACCUGAAUCUCCUCUGGCACAACUUGAGGCCAUUCCCUCUAGUCCUAUCCCUAGACAGACAGGAGAAAAGGAUGACCUCCACCUCACCACAACAUCCUUUCAGGCAGCUGUAGAGAGUGACAAGGUCUCCCCUGAGCCUUCUCUUCUCCAGACUAAACAAUACCAGUUCCCACAGAUGCUCCCCAUAAGACUUGUGCUCCAGGCCCUCUACAACUUCUCUGGACAUGCUCCAGGGCCUCGAUGUCUUGGUUAUCUGUUUAUCCACCUGUGUAAUAAGAAAAUAUUCACUAAAAGAGGCUUUUCCCCCCAUACCAUUCCUGAUUUCUCUUCCAUGUAGCUAAAACAGUCACAGAAUCUCUACUGAUUACUGAUAUAUCAAGCUCCAUAUAUACCAUCAUUUGUGAAUUUCAGCCACAAAAAACUGUGCUUGUUUUUCUAAUUGUUUUGUUUUUGAAAGCCAGAAGAUCCUAUUUUAUGUGAAAAGGCACUGAAGUAAAACAGACUAGGAAAUGUCUUGUGGACCGUAUCUGAGAAAGAAAAAGACAGAAUUUCUUCUCUGAGCUCACAACAGUAUUUGAUGAACAUAUUAUGAACUCUUCCACAAAACCUACAGAUUCCUGGUGAGCACCUUCAUUUUCAUUUCCAAAUUCAAAAACUGAUCUUGACAACUCUUCAAAGUGAGUUUUUCUGGGAGCUUAUUUUCUCACCCUUCUGUUACCAGCCCAUCCUAGUUUCACACCAUACAGAUUCUUCACCUUACAGAGACCUCUAUAAAUGCAUCUUGCUGUCUUCAAAAAGGGAGUGUUGUAGCGAUGUUAAAAAGGAUGAUAUUGUGAAAGAAUGCACAUGUGAUGAUCUUAGCCGGACCUUAAAACAGAUUUUGCCAUUAACAUGACAACAUCACAGAGUUUGUGGAAUUAUAUUAGUUGUGAUUAUUGAAAUUUUUGCUAUGACCUUUACUGUAUUUCUUAAAAAUUGAGAUAUUUCUUAACAACAGAGAAAUAUCUGCAUCUGGACAUAUUUGCAAAAGGUAUUUUCAGCAAAAAUGUCUUUGAAUGACACUUAAAACAUUUUAAAGCAGAAUACAUUGGAUUUGUUUGAAUUUUUGAAUAUUUGUUCUUCAUGAGAAAUGUUAUAUUAGAACAUUAAUCAGCUUUGAAUGGUAUUAUGGAGCAUCUUAAAGUAACUCAUGGUACAGUAACUACAGCAAAUUACAGUUAUUAUGAGUCACAUUUUGGUUUCAGAGCCAGACUGUAUUUAAUCAGAUAACAUAUUUUUUUUAGUGCUAAACUGGAAGUAUUUAAUUUUUUUUUUACAAAUGAGGAAGUUUAGAAGACAAUGUUCUUCAGCUAUGAAACCAAAUAGAACUUCAAAGAUAUCGUUUAGUUGUGAAAAUUCUGAUAUAUUCACUGAGAGUCAGAAAAUCUAUGCCUGAUUCUCUACUACUUUGUUUUACCAUAGGGCUAUCCAGAUUAAAUAUAAGAGUUGGCAGAAUUUUUUUAAAAACUUUCAAUUCAAUAUUGGUUAUUGACAGUUCGUUCAUAAAAAUGGAAUAAAGGUUUGUAAGAAAUGAAAUGUAGGGAACAAACAUUUGCCACUCCAGUAGAACAGGUAUAUUAACUGAUUACUGUGUAAUAUGCUGUUCCCAGUCUGCAACAAUGACAUCUCAAAAAUCAUCUACUGGAAUGGAAAUGCCACAGUGAUCUGUCUUUUGUUCCAAACUUCUCAGUGUUUUUGUCUUUUGUUGUAGAAAAAGAUUUGAGUAUAAUAAGCAGACUCCUGAUUUUUUGAAAAGAGAUUUUUUCCUUUCAGAAUAAGCCAGAAUUCUCAUCUGCUUUUCUUUUUGAUUUCUUCUUUCUGAGGAGAUUUAAUUAAAAUGUUGAAAUAAAUAAAUAGUAUGUCAUCUCUAGAGGGUUUAUCUUCUUUGGCAUUUGAAUGACUAACCUCUCUGUUGCUACAGACUUAAAAUAAAUCCCAAACCUUUCAGUUUCUGAAGAGAAAGUUUAUGCAGAAAACUAAUUCUAACCUUCUGUUCCAAUUCCUGUGACAGUAGCCCUGUCUCUAUGCCUGCCAGGAAAUAUCUCAGAUGUCAAGAGUCAAAGUAUAAUUAUUAGAAGAUAUAAGUUUUCUGUAGACAAGAAAGUUCAGGAUAAUGUUGUGACCUUUCAAUUAAGUCUUGCAUAAUAUGUUUGUUUGCUCUUAUUUUCAGUUUCUUUUUUCUGCUUCUGUUUAUAAGCUAGAGAAUAGGAAUACAUCUAGCAAAAGAAAACAUACCAUCAACUAAAAUGUAAAAACUGUUACAGUACUUUAUAGAACUACCAAUUACUGUAACACGUGACUGGUUCUUAUAUCUCCAAGCAGGUUUUUACAUCCUACAAUCUACUAGUUAGCAUCUACUAGUCAGUUUUAUUGGCUUUUGCUUUUUGCUGCUAAUUGAAAAGGCUUUCCUCAAUCUUUUGUUGCAAACAAUGGUAAACUUAUUCCCUACUAAAAGGUAUACUUAAAAUAUGUACAGUAAUAAUAAUAAUAAUAAAUCCUUUAGGUAGUCUGUGAUGUUCUGUAAUAUUACCAUAUCCCAUUAAUAAAGACUACAAUAAAUCAGACACUGGGAGAGAUACAUUGUACUCAACUGUAGGGGUCUACAGUGAAGAAUGUUAUAACCAAGCUGAGCUCCCUUCAUGAUUUGUGAGGAGUCAGCAUUUUUGAAACAGAAUUCAUCAAAUGUUUUUAGACACCUACCCUAGGAUGAUAGUCAUGGUGCCAUGAAAGUGGUUAUUUUGCUCUUACUAUGUAGGGAAUGUAGGAUAGCUCUUUCAAUAUAGACAAUUACCUACAAUAGGUAUUUAUAGGUACGAUAGGCCUGCAUUUGUCAGAUUAAUUCUACACACAGCUCUAUGGGAUCCAGUGUAUCCAUUUGCUGAAAUACUUCAGCUAAGUUCAGAGUACAGAAUGCUUUCCUAUAGGUGGCUGUAGUUUACUAUCAGGAAACCAUGCAUGCAUAGGAAUAUUUCAGUGCCUGACUACGUGGAUGUCAAACAGUAAGGCAGAGUAGCUGGAUGUUGUUCAGACUGCUUAACUACGGUUCCCACAUCUAAAUCUUCUGCUGAGGGGUGGUUGUAGCAGCCUUCCAUAUCAUUAGGCACAUAGAUGGAAUCAUUCAUUCAUUUGAAUUAGUGGUAAUACCAUUACCAGGGCAGAUGAGAUAGCCAUGUGGCAUUGUCACUAGGGCAGUUGAUUCCGUGAGAUGGUUCUUCUCCCACAAAAAUAUGAAAUAUGUAUUCAGGUCAAUCUGCAAAACUAUGUGUGAUUUUUCCUUUCUACCUGUCUUGUAGUCUAAAGAAGUGAGAAGUCCUUUCAAAUUUUCAUCUUUUUAAUAGUUACUAUUGUACCUUUAGAAACUAUCUAUUUCAAAGUUUCCUCUUAACAAAUGUCUUUAAAAGUAUCUUUAAGAUAGAUACAGCUUUUCCUCAAAUUCUCAUGUACUAAUUAUUCAAGAACAAAUCUCUAACUUAGCUCAGUUCAAUUUAAUAAGAGUAAUGCCCCUUUCUAUGCAAAAUUUUCAUCUCAGAUGUUUUUCAGUUAUGAAUUUUUUAGAAUUUCAAUAUCCUUAUUAAUAUUUUAGAAUGCUUAUCAUUAUGCACCACUAUUCUUCUGUUUCUCAUAAAAAUCUGAAUGAUUUUUUUGAAAUGUUUUAAAAAUUCAUGCCUACACUGAAGCAAAAGUUAGCAAAUCUCAGAUCAAAAGAUCAUUUGAUAAGCAUAACAACAUAAAAUAAUAAGUUAUAAUGAAAAUUCCUUGAUAAUUUUAACUAUAAUCUUUCUACUGAGGAAAAAAAAAAAUGUAAUAAAAAUCCAGUACACACACGUUUUACUUGUCACAUUACUUGUCAAUAUAAUAAAUAGGUAUUUAGAGAGCAGAGAAUUUAUUCAAACAGUACCCUGUCGUGAUAUCUCAAUGAAUUCCAUAAAGCUUCAUAAACAACUUUCUUGCUUAUAUCUAUAUUACAAAAUAGAUACAUUAGAUAACUGCAACCAGAUCUUUCCCAUUCACCUGAAAGGUGCUGGAAAUUUUUAUGCAGUGAAUUCUUUCCUUAUCCAUUGGUGUUCAAUCAGACAAUAUUUGACAAGAUCAGAUAAAAAUUACCUCUAACUUUCAAUUGUUCCAUUCAGUCCUUCAACAUCUUAUUUAUUCAGACACUGGUUCUCAAGUGACAUGAAUUCAGCAUGAGCAGUGAUUCCUAAGAUUUUGGAAGAAAAUAAAAUCCUUUGGGAAUUUUUCAGUAAAUCAAUUUAAUGUUAUGAAAACCUCUGAAGGAGACAUGGAACAGACUGAAAACAGAAAACAAAAAUGGAGAAAGACAAGAACAAAAAAAGAAGAUGAAGGAAAUUCAAAACAUGAACAAAGGAGUAGAUUGAGAUAUAAAACAACAGGAAGAAGGGCAAAUAUUAAGUGAACUACAGACAGAAACCAGAGGAUGUCUGGUCAUUAUGGGAUUAUAAAAAAGCAAGAAUUGCACAGAAGGAGCACAAGAAGCUGAAAAUAAGGAUGGUGCUCUGAUUCAUUUGAGAUCGCUGUCAAAAUGUCAGUUGAUAGCAGAAUUAGGCUGUAAGUUCAAAAGAAAAAAUACACAUAUGCUGAUGCACAUAGAUACACAUAUAUGUUAUACACAAAUAUAUACAUAUAUAUACACAUGUAUGUAUGUGUGUAUAUAUAUACAUAUAUAUGUGUGCACAUAUAUAUUUAUAUGUAAAGAGUAAUAGAAAAGAUUAUGUAUCUUCUUACAGUGUGGUUAUAAAACAGUGCAGUUGUAAUGAAGACACGUCUGAAUAUACUCAAAAUGUCUUAACUGAGUCCAGAUUGUGACCUGACAAGAACAGCAUAUAUAGAUUUAACAUUGUCUUCCAGAAAAAUGGUAUGUAAUGUGUGUUAAAAAAUCUUGUGUAGAGGAAAAAAUCUACAUUUUAGAAUCAAUAUUCUCUUUUUAAAAGGUGAUUAAGCAUCUGUAAAUUAAAUAAAAGCUCUG